AGAUGGGGAAACCAAGGCAUAGUAACUUGCUUACAGUCCACGUUUAGUAAGCAGCAGAUUCGCUGAGUCAAAGCCAGGCAUUUUGGCUUGGGACAUCUACUCUUAACCACUGUGCUGUGUGUCUUUCAAAACACGAGGAGCUAAUGUUUAUCAAGUGCCCACCGCAGUUUAUGGUCUAUGCAUGGUGUUCAGCAUUUUACAUGUUAACUAAUUUAAUCUUCACAGUGGCCCUGUGAGGGUAGGUGUUUUUGUUCCCAUUUUGCUGAUGAGGAAAUUGAGGCACAUCUUCCUUGGUUGGAUUGAUUGAAUGGGCAAAUGGUCCAUUAAAGGGGGUGGUCUUAGCCCCUCCCGUCAAGGUUAUGCCUGUGACCAGAGCCUGGUCUGCUGUGGUGGGCCAAUGGGCAACAGGCCACCUGAGAAGACCCCUCUGGUGGGGCGUGUUGAUGAUCUCUAGAUAGGGGGAUGAGGCGAUAGUGAGUAAGUGGGAGAGCGGGAGGCCUGGCAGGAGAGGAGCUUGGGGAGGCCCUUCCUUCCUGGAGAAGGUUCUCUUUGGGCUCUCGCCUAUGCCCUUCCUGUCUAACGGUGGUGGGGCAUUCCACUCCCCCUCAGUGCACCUCUUCUUCCUGUCAACUUCCACACCUCUUCCUUGCUUUUCCCAGCUCCAUUUCUGAGGACCAGUUCUCUCUGCUCAGAGCCCCCAGGGUUCCUCCAGGAGAGUAGAAAUGCUAAAAAACUUCCAGCCCAGAAGAUGUCGCCUUUUGGGUUGGAAACUUCAGCCCACACUGCACAGUGGAAAAGCCCCUUGGUUGUGUCUUUUUUUUCUAUCUUGAGGAUAAACUCUUCCCUUUUUUUUUUGGUCUCUUUGGAUGGGAAGAGGCACUCACACGAAGCAUUUUCUUUUUCUUCCAAGAGGAAGAUUAAUGUCUCCCAUAGGCCAAGUGACAGGUCAAGAAUUUUGCAGCAUCCUCAAGUGAGGGAAAUCACUGGCAAAUUCCUUUGAUUGGAUAAUGCAGCUCUUCUCAAACUUUGUCAUCUAUCAGAAUCACCUGGAAACUAAUAAAAAUACAGAAACCCAGGCUUGUUGAAGUCGCAUAGGGCCUGGAUCUCUGUCUUUGCUGUGUUUUCCGGGUAAGAAUAAUGGAGUUGGAGCACUGGCUGGCAAACUUGGCUACUCAUUGGAAUCACUCGGGAGUUAAAAAAAAUUACCGAUGGCUGGGUACUCUCAGCGAUUUUAAUUCAGUUAGUAUGGGGUGCAGCCUGCAUGUUACAAUUUUUAUAUCUUCUAUUUCUUUGCUGAGACUUUGUGUCUUUUUCAUUUGUUUCAAGCAUAUUUGUAAUUGCUUGUUGAAGUAUUUUUGUGAAGGCUGCUUUAAAAUCCUUGUCGGAUGAUUCUCAUUUAUCUGUCAUCUUGGUGUUGACAUCGGUUGAUUGUCUUUUCUCAUUCAUGUGGAGACUUUCCUGGUUCCUGGAAUGAUGAAUGGGUUUUGAUUGAAACCUGGAAGUUUUGGGUAUUAUGAGAUACUGGAUCUUAAUUAAAUUUUCUGUUUUAGGAAGACUCCUCUGCCAGUGCGCUGGUUGGGGAAGGAGAGUGCUGCCUCGUUACUGUUGCGUGGUGGGUGGAAGUCCAGAUUAUUUACGGCCUCAGCUGAUACCCCUCUGGGAUGCGGCAGGAGUGCCUCAUUACUAUUGCUCCGUAGCUUCCAUUGAUGCUCUGACUUAUUAUUGCUGGGUGAUGGUGAAAGUUCCAGCUUGGCACUAGGCCUCCUCUUGACACCCCAGCAAGGAGGGGAGGAGGCCUUUUUCUCUCCCAGGUUGGGUGGACAUCCCAGUGUCCUGGCUUCCCAUUCAGCCUUCUGUGACACCACCUGGAUGAAGGUAAGGUUGGAACAUCUCUUUACAACCGGGUGAGAGCAGAAGUCUAGUUUCCUGACUUGGCCGAUAGGGGUGAGGUUUGGGGGCAUGGCUUUUUUCUGCGAUGUUUGGCUGGAGUAGAGCUGUUAUUGUCGAAAAGUUUUCUGUAGUGUGAGGCUGCCUCUUUCUUAGUCCUUUGGCUAGAGAAGGCAGGCUUUCCUUGGACAUUUUUUUGUCUGUGUCUCUUGGUGUUUCUGGGUCUCUGGCUUCUCCAGAAACCAGUCUGGGAUCUGUGAGACAAAAAGAAAACUUAGGGAACACA
ensembl:lncRNA